GCCCUUGUGGCACAAUGGUUAAGUGUUUGGCUGCUAAUCAAAAUGUUAGUGGUUUGAAUUCACCCAGUAGCU
rnacentral:tRNA from 1 species